rnacentral:lncRNA from 1 species
CAUGGGCCAGGCCCACCUCGAUCCCUCUUAGUAGUGGGCUCACUGCGGUCCUGUAUGCGGGGAGGUUCGAUAAGUACCAUGCAAUCAAGGGGCUGGAUGUAACUGGGGUUUCAAGGCUUCCAAUGAAGGGAUCACCGUUGAUUGGUUGAAUCACUUGAUAGGUUGGCUGCCAUAAUAAAAUUGCAAUAACCCAAAAAUAAAACAUUAAUGGCUUCUUAUUGAAUAUAUUGAUGUUGGGAUUUUUUUUUUUUAAUUAAACGAAACAAAAGAAUUUCUGUAUAUAAAUUUUAAUUUAGACACGCUUUGAUUACAUUAGAGGCAGCAAAAUAGAAAAUAGGUAGGGUUCAGUUAGUCGACCAACUUGAUGAAAUGUAAGACUAAGACUUUGAAUGUUAAAUCUGGAAUUAUUAAAUAGGGGUCAUUUUAACUCAAUUUGAUCAUAACCUUAGCUCCCAAAAACCACCAAAUUUCAAAAAAAUCAAACUCUCACUUAACUUGGACUUCAUUUUAGAAGCUUGAAUUUGAAUCUGAACUUUCAUAGUCUGCCUCACUACAUUCCUAAAUUAAUUGACAAAUUUCAAAAAAAUCAAACUCUUAACCCGCAUCGGGGGCCACCAAGCCAAGUAACUCAUUUUUUCACCUCUACUUUCAAUGUUGACAUAUAUUGACAAUGUAAAAUUAAACUAUAUUCCUAAAUUAAUUGACACAUUUAUCCUAAAUCACUGAUAAUAUAAUGAAAUUAAACUAUAUUCCUAUCCUUUAUAAGAUGUUCUGUGAUAUAUUUCUAUCCUUGAUUCCUAAAUCAUUAUAGAAGUGCAGUGGCUGAAACCUGAUAACAUAUCCAUAAUCAAAAUUAUAUUGUGAAAGAUGAACAUAUUGGCAUAAUCUAUACUAAUAUUACUAGUAUAUUCCAAGAAGAAAAGAAAAGGGUCAUCCAUACUAGCUCAUAAAGGACAUUGAUUAGAAUUAAGCAUAAGAGGGUAGCAAUAAAAAGACAAAGAGAGUAAUUAUUAAUUAUUAGAACACAAAUUGAAGGAAGAAGUGCACCUUUUCUGAUUGGAUGGCCCUAACAGUGAAGCUAAAUUGCCUCUUAGAAGGCAGGAGGUGGAGUGGUGAAGAGGCAGAGAGGCCCUUGGGAGCUACAAGAGUUUUAGUGAAGGUGGACUUGAGUUGGCUUGCCAUAGGAGAAGCAGCUGCCAUGAUGAUGGCCUUGUGUUGUUGUUAGUUCCACACAGUGGCUUAAGUGAGGGACCGAACUGGCUAAGUGCAAGAUCAAGGUUGUGGCUGUUGAAGGCCCUCUUAUCUCAUUGGCUGAUUUGCGUAUCAAAUCCUUAUCCCUUAUCC